AGCCCUGCCCACGGGGAAGAUUUAGAUAUAUCACUAAAACCAGCACCCAAGUGAUGUGACUCUUCACCAGAGUCCUGCCCACAAGGAGGAUUGUGACAUUUCACUGGACCAGCACCCACUCAGGAAUCAAAUCCGAGUUCGUCUACAGCUGAUUCGGCAGGUACCAGGGCGUCCGCGAUGGUGGUAUUGCUCCAUAUGCCUGAGACCCUAACAAAAGCCUAAUUACAACUCAUAUGCCUGGAGCCAGGACAUGUGCAGGAUGCCAUGAUGGUCCAAGUUAUAUUGGGAUUCAGCCAAUAGAAGAUAUUUUGCCUGUCAUCCCUAAGCUUAGGACAAUAGACUCUGCCAAGAGAGGGGAUUAUUACAUAUUGCAGAGCCCAGCACCUAGGUGGAGUGACUCUCAUCUUUUUCUUCUACCCCGUAUAUAGCCAGCUUGGUGACCUACUAUUUGAGUCUAUACCCAGGCCCAGACCACAGAUGAAAUUGUGCAAUAUGUGGAACAAACACCUAAACAAUAUAUAACACCUUCCUUGGCUCUGUCUACAAAGGGCACUUUUAUAUAUCACUGGGACCAUCAACCAGGUGAUGUUGUGCCAUAUAACUGAGACCGUAUCAAAAGCCUAAUAACAAGACGUAUGUCUGGAGCCCCGAUAUGCACAGGAUGGUGAUAUAACCCUCUUCUCUGGAAUGGGCCCCACACAAAGGAAGGAUAGUGACAUAUUGCAAGCCCAGGCACACAGGCCCAGAGCACAGUUGAAAUUGUGACAUAUGUACACCAAGCAACCAAGCAAUGUAUAACACCUCAUUUGGCAAUGGAAUCGAGGGCACUUUUACAUAUCACUGAGACCAGCGCCCAGCUGAUGUGAAAUAUUGGCCUGAACCCUGCCUACAAAAGCAUUGUGGCUUUUAUCUAGCUCCAUUACAUAAGUGAUGUGACUUCCUUCUACUGCCUUGGCCCUGCACUUAUGGUGAAUCGUGACACAAAAUUGGGUAGAGCAA
rnacentral:lncRNA from 1 species